GCCUGGGUGGCUCAGUCGGUUGAGCACCUGACUUCGGCUCAGGUCAUAAUCUCAUGGUUCGUGAGUUCAAGUCCCACAUCGGGCU
rnacentral:tRNA from 1 species